GGGUCCCAAUGGGGUCUGUGGGGUCGCUAUGGACUCUAUGGGGUCUCUAUGGGGUCCCUAUGGGUGCUGUAGCUCUAUGGGGUCCGUGUGGGGUCCCUAUGGGGUCCCUAUGGACUCUAUGGGAUCCGUAUGGGGUCCCUGUGGGCUCUAUGGGGUCCCUAUGGGGUCCCUAUGGGUGCUAUAGCUCUAUGGGGUCCCUAUGGGCUCUAUGGGGUCCGUGUGGGGUCUGAGGGGUCCCUAUGGACUCUAUGGGAUCCGUAUGGGGUCCCUGUGGGGUCCCUGUGGGCUCUAUGGGGUCCCUAUGGGGUCCCUAUGGGUGCUAUAGCUCUAUGGGGUCUGUGUGGGCUCUAUGGGGUCCGUGUGGGGUCUAUGGGGUCCCUAUGGGGUCUGUGGGGUCCCUAUGGACUCUAUGGGAUCCACUUCAUUGAGAGCAAAUUCAAGCAGGAUUCCAACCUCACCAUCGGCGUGGAAUUCGGUUCCAAGGUGGUGAAUGUGGGAGGGUGCACUGUCAAGCUGCAGAUCUGGGACACGGCCGGGC